CUUACACAUGCAAGUCGAACGGCAGCACGGACUUCGGUCUGGUGGCGAGUGGCGAACGGGUGAGUAAUAUAUCGGAACAUACCCAGUAGUGGGGGAUAACUAUCCGAAAGGAUAGCUAAUACCGCAUACGAUCUGUGGAUGAAAGCAGGGGAUCUUCGGACCUUGUGCUAUUGGAAUGGCCGAUAUCUGAUUAGCUAGUUGGUAGGGUAAAAGCCUACCAAGGCGACGAUCAGUAGCUGGUCUGAGAGGACGACCAGCCACACUGGAACUGAGACACGGUCCAGACUCCUACGGGAGGCAGCAGUGGGGAAUUUUGGACAAUGGGGGCAACCCUGAUCCAGCAAUGCCGCGUGAGUGAAGAAGGCCCUCGGGUUGUAAAGCUCUUUUGUCAGGGAAGAAACGGAGUUCUCUAAUAUAGGAUUCUAAUGACGGUACCUGAAGAAUAAGCACCGGCUAACUACGUGCCAGCAGCCGCGGUAAUACGUAGGGUGCAAGCGUUAAUCGGAAUUACUGGGCGUAAAGCGUGCGCAGGCGGUUUUGUAAGUCUGAUGUGAAAUCCCCGGGCUCAACCUGGGAACUGCAUUGGAGACUGCAAGGCUAGAGUGUGUCAGAGGGGGGUAGAAUUCCACGUGUAGCAGUGAAAUGCGUAGAGAUGUGGAGGAAUACCGAUGGCGAAGGCAGCCCCCUGGGAUAACACUGACGCUCAUGCACGAAAG
rnacentral:rRNA from 1 species